UAUUGAUUUAAUUAAAAAUAAUAAAAACGAACCUUAUAUACAUAACAUACCGACAUCCAUUAAUAACUUUAACUGUUUAGAAGCCUUAUCUGUUGAUAGUUCCAAAGAAAAAAAUAUUAACAACAAUAACAAUAAUAGUAGUAAUAAUAAUAAUAAUAAUAUGUUUAAACAUGAGGAUACCAUUCCUGAUUUAAUACAGGAUACGGUUCCUGGUGUUCCUACAUCUGCUAACAAACAAGAUAACAGUUUAGAUUAUGUUAAAAAAAAAUGAAGAAAUUUUGGCUGACCUUUUUGGUAACAUCUCUAUUGAUGAGCCAAAAACGAGGCCCACACAAAAUGAGUCAACUGGUAACAUAAAAUUUUAUACCACCAUUCUCUGUUACAUUAUACAUAUAUAUAUAUAUAUAUAUAUAUAUAUAUAUAUAUAUGUACAUAUGUAUACGUAUAUAUAUUUUUUUUCUUUUUUUCUCAUUUCUUAUGCAGAAUACAAUUCGUUAAAUAUACUUAUGAAUGACACUCCAAAAGGGAACAAAGACGAUUUCUUUGACCUAAACCUAAUCGAAGAAAAAAAAGAUGAAAAGACUAUUAAUAUAACCCCUUUAAAAAUAUAUGACAAAAAUAACAUUGAAAUUAUGUUCCAAUUUGAUAAGGAAAGUUUAGAUUCGGAGAGUACUAAUAUAAAAGCUACUUAUUCGAACAAAUCGGACAAGCUUAUACCUUACUUUGUUUUUGAAGCUGUUGUUCCUAAUUAUGUCAAACUGAACAUAUUUAAAGCUUCGUCAACUGAAUUGUUACCCUUCGAAGAAAACAAAAUAACACAAAAUAUGCUAAUUGUUAACAAACUUUUUAAAAAAAAACCAGUCCUUAUGAAAGUUAGGAUAUCAUAUACAAAAGACAACGAAAAAAUACAAGAUUUUAUUAAUAUAGGGAAUUUUCCUGAUGUUUUAUAAUAUAUAUACACAUGUGUAAAUAUACAUAUGUGUAAAUAUACACAUGUGUAAAUAUACAUAUGUGUAAAUAUACAUAUGUGUAAAUAUACAUAUAUAUAUAUAUAUAACGAAGAAAAAAAAAAAAAAACUUUGUCCCUAUUCCCUUUCACAUUUUAUUUUUUAUAAAAAAUUAGAAAAAACAUUAACACAUAUGGACAUAUAACAUAUGGGUAUGUAUGUCACAUAUGAAUGUUGUUCCACAUACAUUCAUUCGUUCACUCAUCUAAUCAUACAAUUACCCAAUCGUUCAUUUUUUUUUUUUUUUUUUUUUUUUUUUUGGUAUUUUAUUACGCUUGUAUUUGUUACUUUAUUCGAUUAUUAUAUUAUGUUUGAUAAUUAUAUUCUGUUCGAUAAUUAUAUUUUGUUCGAUAAUUAUAUUAUGUUCGAUAAUUAUAUUCUGUUCGAUUAUUUUAUUAUGUUCGAUU
rnacentral:lncRNA from 1 species